GGGACAGUAGGUUGGUCGUGCCACCGGUACGUACUGGUCUCACUGAUUCCUCCUUCCUGAAGAACCGUAAUGCCAUUAAUUUGGUGUUGCGGGGAAACAGGACUGUUACUUUGAAAAAAUUAGAGUGUUUAAAGCAAGCUAACGCUUGAAUACAUUAGCAUGGAAUAAUGAAAUAGGACGAUCGAUCCUAUUUUGUUGGUUUCUAGGAUUGACGUA
rnacentral:rRNA from 1 species